AGAUUGAACGCUGGCGGCAGGCCUAACACAUGCAAGUMGAGCGGCAGCAGCAACAUUGAAUCUUCGGAGGAUUUGUUGGGCGGCGAGCGGCGGACGGGUGAGUAAUGCCUAGGAAAUUGCCCUGAUGUGGGGGAUAACCAUUGGAAACGAUGGCUAAUACCGCAUGAUGCCUACGGGCCAAAGAGGGGGACCUUCGGGCCUCUCGCGUCAGGAUAUGCCUAGGUGGGAUUAGCUAGUUGGUGAGGUAAGGGCUCACCAAGGCGACGAUCCCUAGCUGGUCUGAGAGGAUGAUCAGCCACACUGGAACUGAGACACGGUCCAGACUCCUACGGGAGGCAGCAGUGGGGAAUAUUGCACAAUGGGCGCAAGCCUGAUGCAGCCAUGCCGCGUGUGUGAAGAAGGCCUUCGGGUUGUAAAGCACUUUCAGUAGGGAGGAAGGUUCAUGCGUUAAUAGCGUAUGGAUUUGACGUUACCUACAGAAGAAGCACCGGCUAACUCCGUGCCAGCAGCCGCGGUAAUACGGAGGGUGC
rnacentral:rRNA from 1 species